UGGGGAAUUUUGGACAAUGGGCGCAAGCCUGAUCCAGCCAUGCCGCGUGCGGGAAGAAGGCCUUCGGGUUGUAAACCGCUUUUGUCAGGGAAGAAAUCUUCUGAGUUAAUACCUCGGGAGGAUGACGGUACCUGAAGAAUAAGCACCGGCUAACUACUGCCAGCAGCCGCGGUAAUACGUAGGGUGCAAGCGUUAAUCGGAAUUACUGGGCGUAAAGCGUGCGCAGGCGGUUUUGUAAGACAGAGGUGAAAUCCCCGGGCUCAACCUGGGAACUGCCUUUGUGACUGCAAGGCUUGAGUGCGGCAGAGGGGGGAUGGAAUUCCGCGUGUAGCAGUGAAAUGCGUAGAUAUGCGGAGGAACACCGAUGGCGAAGGCAAAUCCCCUGGGGCCUGCACUGACGCUCAUGCACAAAGCGUGGGGAGCAAACAGGAUUAGAUAGCCCUGGUAGUCCACGCCCU
rnacentral:rRNA from 1 species